rnacentral:snRNA from 1 species
AUACUUACCUGGCAGGCGAGAUACCCUGAUCACAGAGGUGGUUUUCACAGGGCGAGGCUUAUCCAUUGCACUCUGGAUGUGCUGAUCACUGCGAUUUUCCCAAAUGUGGAAACAUUGACUGCAUAAUUUGUGGUAGUGGGGGACUGUGUUCCCACUCUCCCCNN